rnacentral:lncRNA from 1 species
UGGAGUUUCAAGAUGCUGAUGAACUUAAGGUCUGGCGCUUGAAAGAAUCAGUGAAGCUUUUCAAGUAGAGGAGUACUCUACUUUGAAGAAAGGAAUGGAACAGAAGGUGUCUGCAUAACUAAAUGGGGAUCUAGAGAAAGUGGAGACUGCCUCUGGAGCAGGGAGGUGAGUGGACCAGAUCACUGUGGGCCUGGGCCUACUCAGCUGAUUUUCAAGCUAAAACCAGGGGUAACUUUUCCUCUUGAGACGAAAGCCAUGCUCACAUUCUGUGAACAGCCAGAGAUGUGUUCGAAAGGCUUACUUUUAUUUUGUACUAGAAAAGAUUGUCUUUCCAAAAUUUACCUCGUAUUCAUAAACUGGAAAGUUCUGAUGGCAAUAUUUUGUUACAAAAUUGUCAUUAAUCACAAUCCAGGAUUAUGCCACCAUGACUAGAAGGCCCCCUAAUGGAGUUUAUCUGCACUGCAAGGGGCCAGUUGUCUCAGAAUCAUCCUCCGUUGACAUCUCCAUCUCCAGGACAGCUCCACACUAAUCUGUUUCAAAGACAAAAUCCAGUCUAAUCAGUUUGAUGUAUGUUUCUGGGAAUAGAGCCGAAUGUUGUAGCUGAUGGAAUGGAGUCUCAUACCAUUGAUUUUGCAGCUGGACAAGUGCCCUGCCAUGUUACUGCCACUCUUUAAGGCAGAAUAGAGCACAUUGUAUCAUUUAUAGGCCUCUCACAGUGAGAAAUAUGUGGAACUUUGGAAAUCAGAAUCUAAAACUGCAGUCCAAUGGGGUAGCCACUAUUCACAUGUGCUAUUGAGUACCUAAAAUGUGGCUAGACCAAGUUGACAUGUGCUGAAGGGUGAAAAACACCAGGAGUGAAGAAUUAACUUGAAAAAAAUGUAAACUAUCUCAAUUUUAUAUUGAUUACAAAUUAAAUGAUGUUUUGAAUA